GGGGGAUUUGUUCCUGGGAACACAGACACCCUCAGUGUUUUUGUCAAUCCGUGUGUGUCAGUCUCGGACCAGCUCAGUGAAAGAAGGGAACUGGCUAAACGAGUUUCGGUCUGGCCUGGGAGGUGGCCACUUGCUGGUAACUGGACCUGCAGCCCGUCGUGAAUAAUGAAGUCGGCCCCGUCCCGAGUGUAGGUCACAGGCACUGCACCAAGGCAAUGGCUCAGCAAACCGAAGAUGACAGCACCUGGCCAGUAAUCUUAGCAGGGAAACAAACAAAGCUGAGAAUGAGAACUGACUUUGAUUCUAGAUGAGAAUCAAGAUGUGGCCACCCAUUGUGAAGAAGCCAGGUCACCUGCCCCUGCUCCCCCUCACUCUCUUUUGCUGGUGGCUUUGUAGUUUGGAGCCAUGCACAAUGAGCUGAAGUCCCAGGGAACUCUGAGCUGGAGUCAUUCAGUGAUAAAAUCCACGAACAGAUCUGAAUCCCAAGAUUCAUGAUUUUGAUUCACCAAGUGCUCUCGGAAACCGACUGUGCAAACUGGGUUAGUCACCGCUGGGUUGUGAGGAGGGCAGUGGGCACUGCAGUGUUCCAGAAGGAACAGACCAAGCAGGGGGCCUGUGGGGCAGGCAAGAGACGACUGGGAGCUGAUUCCCCCCAACACCUCCAUCUCAUCACAGAGCAGCCAACUCGCUCGUCCUUUCUGCCCUCAGUUUCCUCAUCUGAAAGAGAAGCGACAAUUCUCCUAGAUGUUUGGUGUGAGUGAGCCCUGGAUCCACGGCGCACAGGCCAGGCUCGUCCUGCCUUCCUUUCCUCGCCACAGAGGGAAAUGAAUCCUAGAUCCACUACUCCCAAAUGCAGAUACUGUUUCCUCUCGUCCCAACAAGGCAACCUUGAUGUCAUCGGGCAGAUGUCAUUAGUCAGCUUAUCAAAGCCUCACGUGGGACUACCCUUCAGUGAGCUGUGCUUUCCAAGGACCUCACGCCAUCCCCAUAACCGGGGGAUGAAAAGGACCACUCCAUCGCCCGCAUAAAACUAUGAAUCACGAGCACUCCUCUUGCCUGCCUGAGAACUCUGGCAUCUUCUACAUUUGAUUCUUUUUUUCCCUCUGCUUUCAUUUUGGGCUGACGCUCACAGCCAGGCCUCAUGGCUGUUUAUCAGCUGUUCAAGGCUGUUUAGAAAGAUUUCUGCUUUCAUUUAUAACCUAAGUCCCAUGCUUCUUGCCUCCGCUGCUGGAUUUUCUGAAGGGGUUAUGUCAAAGGAAAUUCAACACCCACUUUUCUCAUGAUUCUCUCCUCAGCUUGCUAGCUCAUCAGAAGGCCAAUGCUAUUUGAUACUUCAGAAGAUUAUUUUCCCUGUGAGGUGAUGUGCCGAGGGAAGGGGAGCUGGCCCCAGCGUCAGGUGACUGAGUUUUGUUCCCAUUUCUACUGUUGACUCAAUAAAUGUCCUUGGGCAAGUCA